rnacentral:rRNA from 1 species
GGUUGAUCCUGCCAGUAGUCAUAUGCUUGUCUCAAAGAUUAAGCCAUGCAUGUCUCAGUGCAAGCUAAAUUAAAGUGAAACCGCGAAAGGCUCAUUAAAUCAGUUAUGGUUCCUUAGAUGGUACACACAGUUACUUGGAUAACUGUGGUAAUUCUAGAGCUAAUACAUGCAAAUAGAGUCCCGCACUCUGACGAGUAGGGAUGCUUUUAUUAGAUCAAAACCAAUCGGACCUCACGGUCCGUUGUUCUUGGUGACUCUGAAUAACUUUGGGCUGAUCGCACGGUCACGUACCG